GGGGGGGGGGGGCGGCGGGGCGGAGGGAGGGAGGGCGGGCGGGUGAGGGGAGCGUGGGCCGGGAGGGAGCGGGGGACGGGGGAGUAAUGCCUAGGGGUGGGCGUGGUAGGGGGGGAUGACGUCCGGGGACGGGCGCGAGUAGCGCAUACGUCGGGCGGGCGAAGGUGGGGGAUGGUCGGCACGCACGCUAUCAGAUGAGCCUAGGUCGGAUUAGGUAGGUGGUGGGGUAAAGGGAGACCAAGGCGACGAUCCGUAACUGGUCUGAGAGGAUGAUCAGUCACACUGGAACUGAGACACGGUCCAGACUCCUACGGGAGGCAGCAGUGGGGAAUAUUGGACAAUGGGCGAAAGCCUGAUCCAGCCAUGCCGCGUGUGUGAAGAAGGUCUUCGGAUUGUAAAGCACUUUAAGUUGGGAGGAAGGGCAGUAAGUUAAUACCUUGCUGUUUUGACGUUACCAACAGAAUAAGCACCGGCUAACUUCGUG
rnacentral:rRNA from 1 species